AUAGUUACCCGGCAGGGCAGAGUUCAUGAUGGCAAAGGUGGUUUUCCCCGGCCAGGCUCACCCAUUGCACUCCAGAUGUCCUAACCCCUGCGAUUUCCCCCAAUGAGAGAAACUCGAUUGCACAAUUUGUGGUAGUGGGGGACUGCAUUUGUGCUCUCCUCUG